CACGUAGGCGGAUUUGUAAGUCAGGGGUGAAAUUCCGGGGCUCAACCUCGGAACUGCCUUUGAUACUGCAAAUCUCGAGUCCGGAAGAGGUGAGUGGAAUUCCUAGUGUAGAGGUGAAAUUCGUAGAUAUUAGGAAGAACACCAGUGGCGAAGGCGGCUCACUGGUCCGGCACUGACGCUGAGGUGCGAAAGCGUGGGGAGCAAACA
rnacentral:rRNA from 1 species